UGUAAGUGUAACUCCAAGGAGAUACUUUCUU
rnacentral:piRNA from 1 species